GGAGAACGCCAGAAGUGGACCCCGAAGCGGCUCCCCAGCCAAAGGGGAGAAUGUAAGGGAAUGUUCCAGGCACUCCCAGCGCAGCCUAACCCUCGACUGCCGGAGUGGUUCAUCUCCGCCGGAAGUCCAAAAUGAGUUGCACUAAAUCAAAAUCAUGGUGUUGGCAGGAUCACAUUCCCUCUGAAGCUCCAGGAACAAGGUUACAGGGAUUAGUACCUAGACAUAUCUUUGGGAGUGAGCCAUCAUCAACCUACCACACCCAUCAACCUCGAAGAAAUGCAAAUUGAGACAGCAGAGAGAGACCAUUUAUCAUCUAUCAGUUGGCAAAGGUAGAAAAGAAGAACAACAUCCAGCUUUGGCCCCAGUGCUGAGAAACA